AUUUCAGCGUGUGCACUCUUGUUAUAAGUACAUGUAUCCCUGUGAUGAGAGUUGUAACUGAACUUUAUCAAUGGAAAUUUAAAACUAAAUAGAUUUUUCAGUCCUCACUUUCUUGAGAAAAAAGACUAUCAAUAGAAAUUAAAAGUGAAUAGAUUUUUCAGUCAUUAAAAUUUCUUAAAGUACUGUCACAAAAAAUGGAGAAUGACCCUAGCCUGCUGUUCAGUGAUACACAAUUAAAAUGUUGUUAAAUGAUAGAAUUCAGUUGAUGUUAGAUAAUUAACUUUCAACUUUAAUCAAAUGUUUUGAUUGAGAAGGUGCAGAUCUCUUCCAUUGGUUCAAAUUGACUCCAUGAUGAAUUCUUAACUAAGGAAAGGAAAUUACACCAAACAACAACUGAUUGCACUAUUGUCAACCUUUCUACAUGUUCUAGCUGUUCUUUUGUUCAUUCUUUGUAUGAAGACUAUCAAAAAAUACCCCCCCCCCCCCCCCGCAAAAAAAAAAAAAAAAAAAAACCACAAUUGCCGUCUUUCCCCUCAUAGUUCUUCAGCUCUUUGAUUGAAAUUAUUUGACUCUCCCAUGUCUGUUUCUUUAAUGAGAUGAACAGUAAUUUUGCGCCUGUCCCA
rnacentral:lncRNA from 1 species